rnacentral:rRNA from 1 species
GGUAUCGUAGGUCCGAGCGUUGUCCGGAUUUAUUGGGCGUAAAGCGAGCGCAGGCGGUUUGAUAACGUCUGAAGUAAAAGGCUGUGGCUUAACCAUAGUACGCUUUGGAAACUGUCAAACUUGAGUGCAGAAGGGGAGAGUGGAAUUCCAUGUGUAGCGGUGAAAUGCGUAGAUAUAUGGAGGAACACCGGUGGCGAAAGCGGCUCUCUGGUCUGUAACUGACGCUGAGGCUCGAAAGCGUGGGGAGCGAACAGGAUUAGAUACCCUGGUAGUCCACGCCGUAAACGAUGAGUGCUAGGUGUUGGGUCCUUUCCGGGACUCAGUGCCGCAGCUAACGCAUUAAGCACUCCGCCUGGGGAGUACGACCGCAAGGUUGAAACUCAAAGGAAUUGACGGGGGCCCGCACAAGCGGUGGAGCAUGUGGUUUAAUUCGAAGCAACGCGAAGAACCUUACCAGGUCUUGACAUCCCGAUGACCGCCCUAGAGAUGGGGUUUCUCUUCGGAGCAUCGGUGACAGGUGGUGCAUGGUUGUCGUCAGCUCGUGUCGUGAGAUGUUGGGUUAAGUCCCGCAACGAGCGCAACCCCUAUUGUUAGUUGCCAUCAUUCAGUUGGGCACUCUAGCGAGACUGCCGGUAAUAAACCGGAGGAAGGUGGGGAUGACGUCAAAUCAUCAUGCCCCUUAUGACCUGGGCUACACACGUGCUACAAUGGCUGGUACAACGAGUCGCAAGUCGGUGACGGCAAGCUAAUCUCUUAAAGCCAGUCUCAGUUCGGAUUGUAGGCUGCAACUCGCCUACAUGAAGUCGGAAUCGCUAGUAAUCGCGGAUCAGCACGCCGCGGUGAAUACGUUCCCGGGCCUUGUACACACCGCCCGUCACACCACGAGAGUUUGUAACACCCGAAGUCGGUGAGGUAACCUUUUAGGAGCCAGCCGCCUAAGGUGGGAUAGAUGAUUGGGGUGAAGUCGUAACAAGGUAGCCGUAUCGGAAGGUGCGGCUGGAUCACCUCCUUU